GGAGGAGGCCGGGUGAUCGCUCGCGGGGUUCACCCAUAGCUGGGUACCCGGCGGGAGGAAAGUCCGGACUCCAAGGGCAGGGCGCUGGGUAACCCCCAGGCGGAGCGAUCCGACACUAGCGCCACAGAAAACAGACCGCCGAUGGCCGGCUGUCCAUUGGGCCCGGGACGAUCGGCACGAUGGGCCGACGGAUCAGGCAAGGGUGAAACGGUGGGGUAAGAGCCCACCGCGGCUGUGGUGACACAGACGGCACGGCAAGCGUCGCCCGGAGCAAGACCAAAUAGGAGGACGCCCGAGGGCGUGAGCGAUCACGGCCUUCGGAACGGCUGGCCCGGCCAAGGUCCUCGGGUGGGUCGCUUGAGGUUCGGGGCAACCCGAGUCCCAGAGAAAUGAUCACCUCCGCCGAAGUCCGCCGUAGCCCUGCGCGAAGGCGCGACGAAGGCGGGACAGAAUCCGGCUUAUAGGCCGCCUCCACCG
rnacentral:RNase_P_RNA from 1 species